UACGUAGGGACCAAGCGUUGUUCGGAUUUACUGGGCGUAAAGCGCGUGUAGGCGGUCCGGUAAGUCCGCUGUGAAAGUCGGGGGCUCAACCCUCGGAUGCCGGUGGAUACUGUCGGGCUUGAGUACGGAAGAGGCGAGUGGAAUUCCUGGUGUAGCGGUGAAAUGCGUAGAGAUUGGACAGGAACACCAAGGGCGAAAGCAGCCGACUGGGCACCACCUGACGCUGAGGUACGACGACGUGG
rnacentral:rRNA from 1 species